UCCGCGGUAGCUCAGCAGGUAGAGCAGCCGGCUGUUAACCGGUAGGUCGCAGGUUCGAGUCCUGCCCGCGGAG
rnacentral:tRNA from 2 species